AGUAGAAAAUAUACUGCCAGAUUUGCUCUUGUAAUAGCCUCGUCUUCUCACGAUCUGGAUCGCCCCAUUUUCUCCGUCCUACCGACCGUUUCGCUGUUCCACAAUGUUGCGUGCGCAUUCGUUCUCCGUCCUACCGACCGUUUCGCUGUUCCACAAUGUUGCGUGCGCAUUCGUCGACCACUCCCUUAACUCGGACUGCGUCGAACUGAAAGGCUUCGUGUUAACCAAGUUUAUUGACGGCAGUCCUCAGGCAUUCGUCGACCACUCCCUUAACUCGGACUGCGUCGAACUGAAAGGCUUCGGGUUAACCAAGUUUAUUGACGGCAGUCCUCUGGCCUUCAGCGCCAAAUCGUCUGCGGUAUCGUAUAAGAAGCAAGGAAAGUUUUGGCGAUACCGAUAUAAGGGGCUAUUAUGGAUGGCAACUCAACUCUAGUUGCGUUGCCAGGAAAUAAAAUCAUGAAAUAAAAAUUAGUAUAAAUUUGUAAA